rnacentral:rRNA from 1 species
AUUGAACGCUGGCGGCAUGCUUUACACAUGCAAGUCGAACGAGUGGCGCACGGGUGAGUAAUACAUCGGAACGUUUCCUAUCGCGAGGGAUAACUGAUCGAAACAUCAGCUAAUACCGCAUACGAUUCCAACGGCCGAUGCCCGAUUAGCUAGCUGGUGAGGUAAAGGCUCACCAAGGCGACAAUCGGUAGCUGGUCUGAGAGGACGACCAGCCACACUGGGACGCAGAGAAGGCCCAGACUCAUACGGGAGGCAGCAGUGGGUAAUUUUGGACAAUGGGAGCAACCCUGAUCCAGCCACGCGGCGUGCAGGAAGAAGGUUUUCGGUUUGUAAACUGCUUUUGUCAGGGAAGCGGUACCUGAAGAAUAAGCACCGGCUAACUACGUGCAAGGAGCUGCGGUAAUUG